UAAUUUCCAUUAUAUUUUUAAUAUACUGAUGCUAUUCUUACACAAAGUAAAAAGGCUGGGUAAGUUGUGGUCGCGCACACCUGUAAUUCCAGCACUUUGGGAGGCGGAG
rnacentral:lncRNA from 1 species